rnacentral:lncRNA from 1 species
GCAUUGUGAAAAUCCUUGGAGAUCACUGCAUACAUUUCUCUGCUGUCUCAGUACAGAUUAAAUGAUACAGAGAGAGAGAUUCUUCAUCCACUCCACUAACAUUAGAGUAUCUGUCUUGUGUAAUAUCUAAUACCAAAAUCUGGAAAUAAAUACUAAUAAAUAAGGUUCCCUUCACUAAAAGAGAAAGGAAUCUAGAAGAAAAGACUAAUGACCGAACAAGUAACUGUAAUAUGUGUUUGUAGAUGCAUGAUAACUGUAAAACACACAGUCUAGCACAAAAUCAGUCAGGGUCAAUUUUAUUUGAGGGCAGGAAGGAUUUCAUAAAGGAAUGCAGUGUUUGAACUGGGUCAUAAAAAAAAAUCAGUUGCAAGGGGCUGGAAAGGGCAUCCCGAAACGAAGAAAUAUUACAGCCAAAGGUGGAGAAGCAUGGACUAGUAUUCUGCUCCCAGGAAAUCCCAAGUGGAUCUGGAUGGCUGGAAGGAGUGCAGAUGGAGGCAUAGUCUCCUCUGGGAAGGCAGAACUGUUCACCUUCUGGCAGAGAAGUCAUUCUUCUGGAUCACAGAGUAUCAUUUAGCCAGUUUCUCUGAGUUGCUAAAUUGCUGAGAAAACCAUGGGGGUUUGGGCUUCAUGCCUGGAAGAGGCACAGCUGGGGACUGGCUUAGGGUGCAUGCCCCCACCAUUCUCCUGUAUUCCUUUGGCCCCAUUUCCUACAACCUGGAAGAAGAAACAAAGUUGCCAGAACCUGGCUUUGUCUCCAAAUUUACUUUAACCAUCAUUUCAGAGGAUAUAAUAGGCCCCAGGUCUGCGGUUGGGGCUGUUCAGAAACAAGGAAGGAAUUCCGAGUUUUCGGAGCAAGUUGAGGUUGAGACGUAUUAUAUUCACACACACACACACACACACACACACACACACACACACACACACACACACACAAAAUCAGGCCUUAAAGAAGAGCAUAGGGUAUAAAUGUCCUCAAGCUCUCCUGUCCUCAGAAAUGUGUUAGAACAGACCUAGCAAAGCCCUAGGGAAAGUGCAGUUGCUGGGACAUUAACCAAGAUAUUUGGAGAUCUCACUUUUCUGCUGGAAGCAGGAGUGCAGGGACAAUGUUAAUUGCAAGAAAAUGAGCAAAGAAGCGGGUUUUAACUUUCAUGUUCUAACAGGGCAAAAGAGGGAGAUUACAAGGAAAGCACAAAGGCAAAUGCAUGAAGCCGUCUUCUGCCUCCCAAGGGAAGGAGAUGAGCAUCACAGGAUUUGCUGCAGAGGCCCACGGCCAGCACAAUCUAUUAAAUAGCUCAAGUUAGUCAAUGUGGAAGAAAUUUUUAGACACACAUGCCCAACCAUAUGUGCAUGACCAAGAUUUAAAAUAGAAAAGUGAGAGACUGUUGGAUGACUGAGGAUUUUUCCCUUGCCAGGAAGUCCUCCUUAAGGAUUUCAUAGCUUGCAAAAGAGAAUUGCUUGCCAGACAAGCCAAGAAAAAGACACAGAAGAUUGGGACCUGCUUCCUUAAUGAUGAAAUGUCACGCUGCUAUGUAAAUCAACCUGAAGAAAAGAGGCAGGCAUGAUUAAGAUGGCUUUGCAGAAACAAGAGAGGUUUCUUGACAUCUCCUCCCUAAACUGCUUUAAUUCCUCAAAUCUCAGGGCUAGAAGCACACACACAAUGGAAUCUUAUGGCAGUCACAUUGGGCAAUAAGGGAACACCUGUUCCAUAGGAUUUCUGUGCUGCAGUAAAAAAUUACACUGUAUGGCUACAAUUAAUAAGGGACAAAUACUUGGUGUUAUCAAGUUAGUGGCAGAUCAAAGAGCUGCCCCACUGGGUUGCAGUGUGUUUCUAAUGUAUGUGGAAUGAGACUACGACAAACGAGAUGGAUCCUAUUAGCCACAUGAGUAUCAGCUUUAAUAAUUUUCCAUUACACUAGAUAGAUGUUUUUUAAAGGACAUUCUAGCAACACCCACCUCAGAAAGCCUAUGCUUUAGUUCUCUCUAUCUCCCCUCCUGUCUCUUUUCUCCUCCCCAGUCUUCCUGACACCAUCAGAAAGAACUUAGAUGGUACACCAUUCCAUAGCAUGGUGUACAAAACACCAAUAUAGCUUAUGAUGGCUAGUGUUUGGGUAUGUAAUUACCCAACAGCUAUGGUUGAAAAUGUGCUUCUUGUUUUGGGGAAAAGGGUGGUUUGUGUACAGCAUAAAAACAUAAAGCUAUCCUCUCACACCUUGGGAGCUUCAGGGCUGCAGGGCUCUGGCUCUAGGGUCAUUUGGUGUAAUUUGUGUGUUUCACAAGAAUUAUAAUAAUAUCUUCCAUAACCCAGGAAGUUUUCUCCUAAAUUGUGCCAUCAAUUUUCAAUUCACUUAGAUCCCUAUAAUUUUAUGACUAGAGGGGGCUUUAGAAUUGACUUAAUCAAAUUAUGUCAUUUUACAGAAGAGAAAGGUAAGGCCCUGAAAUGUUAAGUGAGUUGUCAUAUCACAAAACUACUUGGUAUGUAAGUCGGGAUGAGUUUCCCAAUCCUUUGACUUCUAGUCUAGUAUUUCCAACACUAUACCAUACUUCAGCAUCAUGCUGUGUCAUUACUCUUCCAUGCUCCUAGGAAUAAUAUGGAUCUCUCUACUAAAAAUAAGUACUUCUUUUCAAAUCUCAGCCUACUAAAGUGAGAGUGAUCUCUGAUGACACACUGGAAAACAAGAAUUCCCUACGAGGAAAAAUAAUGAGAAGAUAGAUUGCCACUGAUAAAAAAUCAAACUGGGACUGUCUGAGUUGUAUGAAAUAUCAUAAUCACAUUAUUAAUUGGUGCCAGAAACAAUUCUGUAUUAUGAAGAAAACAUUAAUAUGAUUUAAAAAUAUCAGCCCAUGGACCACCUGGAGAAUAUCUGUCAAUGAUAAAUGUCCCCACACAGUAAGUAGGAAUCUCUGCUCCAUAGGCAGUGAUGUGGCUGCCUAGUUCCUCUAUGUGGACUCACCCAAAUAAUCACCUCCACCAUCAUCAACACCCAAUUUGUUGUGUUUUCUAUGCAAAGGGUCAACUAAGUGCCAGGAAGUGACAAUCUUCAUUUAUAUCCCAGCUGUAAAGGUGAUAGAAAAUGGAGUCCACCUACUUGCCUGCCAGAAAGACAGCAGUACAACUUCACACUAGAAGAUUAUGCCACAGCUCUCUAAGGAAACUCAUCCCAUAGUCUUCUAAUCAUGUCACUGAUGUCUCUAACCCAUGGGUUACAUUUGGUUUUCAUCUUUCUUGUCAACUUCAGUUAGUCUUUUAAGGUACCAUGGGGACAUUUUCUAAAUCCUUAACAGUGUAACUCUGUCACUAUUGGGGAAUCACGCAAUCAAGCAAAACAAUUGGGCUCUGUACCCCCUUUUUCUUCUUUUUUGCCUUUGCCAUAUAGUUCAAGACAAUGAAAAGAGCAAUUAACUGCACAUUCAGAGACUUGGGUUUCAGUCCUGACACAUUAACUACACAGCUUGGGAGAGUCACUUGAUCUUUCUGGACCUCAUCUCUUCAUCUGCAAAAUGGAAGCAUUGAAGGAGAUACACUUACAGGUUUCUUGAAUCUUUAAUAUUCUGGGAACUUCCUACAGCACAGGCCUAUCACCAGACACAGGAUAUCUGAGAUUAUGAAGUUGCUGGCAGACAAAGUUUAAAAUUCUCUUAAAUUAUAGUGUCUAACAAAUCCUGAGCUACCAAUAAAUAAUCAACUGUCAAGUGAAAGCAUCCCAGCAGUAUUUAUUGCCCUG